rnacentral:misc_RNA from 1 species
CCUGGCAUGUACCUGCCAGUUCAUUAGAUCGGCAUGCGUCAGGGGCCAACCCUGGGGUGUGAAGCCGGAUUAACCUUAUUCCAGUUCCCGAACGCUUCGGGGAGAUCUCUCCAGGGGCAUCCCGUGCGCAUGCGGUACAGCAUGCCCUCCAC